rnacentral:tRNA from 1 species
GGCAGGGUAAGCCGAGUUCGGCCUAACGGCAGCCGUCUCGAAAACGGUCUGUCCCUCAACGGGGCGUGAGGGUUCGAGUCCCUCCCCUGCCG